rnacentral:lncRNA from 1 species
GCUGGUCGCAGAUGGCUGGACGAAAGUCCAGAGCCGGAGGUGGACGUUGUCGCGCGUCAUGCAGCCCAUCGGGGUGGAUUUUGUGGACGUGUAUUUGCCUAUUUGCACCUAGUUAGUCUUUCCCCAGGUGCCAGGUCUUUCCUGCCCUGGGGGUGAGGUUUCUCCCGAAGGACUACUUUGGUAAGGAAGAGUCAGGGAGAUUAAGAAGGGAGCGAUCUUCUCUCUUGAGGCAAUAAGCCCGAAGAUGCUCUGUUCUUGGGCGUUGGAAUCGUGGUAGUGGCUGGCGAUAGAGAGGACGACUGGCUUGUCCGUCACACCCCUCAGUGCCUCCACACUUACUGUUUCCACACUCACCACCUGCCUCUAUGCUCCCCCCAUCAUCUCCACACCCACCCCAACAUCUCCACACUCCCCCAUCAUCUCCACACCCACCCCCAACAUCUCCAUACUCUCCCCAUCUUCUCCACACCCACCCCCAUCAUCUCCACAACCACCCCAACAUCUCCACACCCACCCCCAUCAUCUCCACACCCACCCCCAUCAUCUCCUCACCCACCCAACAUCUCCAUACUCUCCCCAUCAUUUCCACAUCCACCCCCAUCAUCUCCACACCCACCCCCAUCAUCUCCUCACCCACCCCAACAUCUCCACACCCACCCCAACAUCUCUAUACUCUCCCCAUCUUCUCCACACCCACCCCCAUCAUCUCCACACCCACCCCAACAUCUCCAUACUCUCCCCAUCAUCUCCACCCCCACCCCUAUCAUCUCUACACUCCCCCCAUCAUCUCCAUACUCUCCCCAUCAUCUCCACACCCAGCCCCAUCAUCUCCAUACUCUCCCCAUCAUCUCCACAUCCACCCCCAUCAUCUCCACACUCCCCCCAUCAUCUCCACACCCACCCCCAUCAUCUCCACACCCACCCCAACAUCUCCACACCCACCCCAACAUCUCUAUACUCUCCCCAUCUUCUCCACACCCACCCCCAUCAUCUCCACACCCACCCCAACAUCUCCAUACUCUCCCCAUCAUCUCCACCCCCACCCCUAUCAUCUCUACACUCCCCCCAUCAUCUCCACACCCAGCCCCAUCAUCUCUAUACUCUCCCCAUCAUCUCCACACCCACCCCCAUCAUCUCCACACCCACCCCCAUCAUCUCCACACCCACCCCAACAUCUCCAUACUCUCCCCAUCAUCUCCACCCCCACCCCUAUCAUCUCUACACUCCCCCCAUCAUCUCCAUACUCUCCCCAUCAUCUCCACACCUACCCCAACAUCUCCAUUCUCUCCCCAUCAUCUCCACACCCACCCCCAUCUUCUCCAUACUCUCCCCAUCAUCUCCACCCCCACCCCUAUCAUCUCUACACUCCCCCCAUCAUCUCCAUACUCUCCCCAUCAUCUCCACAUCCACCCCCAUCAUCUCCAUCCUCCCCCCAUCAUCUCCACAUCCACCCCAUCAUCUUCACACCCACCCCCAUCAUCUCCACACCUACCCCAACAUCUCCAUUCUCUCCCCAUCAUCUCCACACCCACCCCCAUCAUCUCCACUCUCCCCCCAUCAUCUCUACUCUCUCCAUCAUCUCCACACUCCCCCCAUCAUCUCCACACUCACCUCCAUCAUCUCCAUACUCUCCCAUCAUCUCCAUACUCACCCACAUCACCUCCACACUCCCCCUCAUUAUCUCCACGCUCCUCCAUCUCCUAACACCUCCACACUGAUGCUCCUUAUUUCCAUUCACCCAC